UGCGACGCGGGCGGUCCGCCGCCCGCGACUCGGCGAGAAGUCCAUUGAACCUUAUCAUUUAGAGGAAGGAGAAGUCGUAACAAGGUUUCCGUAGGUGAACCUGCGGAAGGAUCAUUGUCGAGACCGGGAGCGCACCGAGCGAUUCGGAGAACGCGUGACGCGAGCGGCGGCGGCUGCCGUCGCGGAACUCGGCCGUCCCGGGCCGGCGCCUCGCCCCCCCCCGCCCGUUCUCCCGGCCCCGGCCGGGGACGGAUGAAACACAAACGGGCGCAGCUCCGCGCCAAGGGAGAAAGAUCGAACGGCACGGGCCCCCGCGUCGGGCCCGGCGGGGUGGAGCGCCGUCGCGCUCCAUGCGGAUGGACACGACUCUCGGCAAUGGAUAUCUCGGCUCUCGCAUCGAUGAAGAGCGCAGCGAAAUGCGAUACGUGGUGCGAAUUGCAGAAUCCCGCGAACCAUCGAGUCUUUGAACGCAAGUUGCGCCCGAGGCCAGCCGGCCGAGGGCACGUCCGCCUGGGCGUCAAGCGUCGCGUCGCUCCGUGCCGGCCCCGUGCGCUCCCCCGGUGGGCGCGCGACGGCGGAGGCCCGGACGUGCAGGGUGGCUCGUCGUGCCCGUCGGCGCGGCGGGCUGAAGAGCCGGUCGCCGUCCCGCCGGCUGCGGGCAACGAGGGGUGGGUGAGAGCUGCGAGCGCAGCCCGCGUUGCCUCGUGCUGAGCCCGGGAGGGCGGCUCCGAGGCGAUCCCGACCCAGGCGCCGAUCCACGCGCGGCGGCUUGGAAUGCGACCCCAGGAUG
rnacentral:rRNA from 1 species